rnacentral:misc_RNA from 1 species
GAUGAAGAACGCAGCGAAAUGCGAUAAGUAAUGUGAAUUGCAGAAUUCAGUGAAUCAUCGAAUCUUUGAACGCACAUUGCGCCCGCCAGUAUUCUGGCGGGCAUGCCUGUUCAAGCGUCAUUACAACCCUCAGGCCCCCGGGCCUGGCGUUGGGGAUCGGCGGAAGCCCCCUGCGGGCACAACGCCGUCCCCCAAAUACAGUGGCGGUCCCGCCGCAGCUUCCAUUGCGUAGUAGCUAACACCUCGCAACUGGAGAGCGGCGCGGCCACGCCGUAAAACACCCAACUUCUGAAUGUUGACCUCGAAUCAGGUAGGAAUACCCGCUGAACUUAAGCAUAUCAAUAAGCGGAGGA